ensembl:lncRNA
AAUGCAGCAUUUACACAUAGUAGGCACCAAAUACAUGUCAGUAGAUGGUGACAACAAUGAAUAUGAGGUUGAAAAAAAGUUAGCCUCCCAAAUCUCAGAGCCAGAUGAACAGAAUAAAUGUGAGUAAGGUUGAAAAUACUACUUAAAAAAAAACAAAACAAAAAAAAACUAUUUCAUUUGCCAGAGGGCUAGAUCUUCCACUUUAUAUUUUGUUCAAGGAUUUAGCUGCCCUAAGAUAAUCAUAACUUGGAACUUGGACAUGUGACCUGGGAAGUUUGGGGUGGCUGUUUCAUUGGUUACAUCUCCUGAGAAAAAUUCUCAGGCUAGGAAAAAAUACUCUGACAGUGACAUGCAAAGGCUGGUACUUAUAACUACCAUCCUCAAUGUUUAGGGGAAAGGAGUUUUAAUGACGGGCCAAAGAACAGAUGUCAAAUCCCCAGCCAUCCUUCUGCCAUUUGCUGUUUGUUAUGAGUCACCCUGGAGCCCAUCCAUCCCGGCACCAAUUUUCAUGGGAAGCAUUGAUGUGUGACCAGAAGUGUGUGCUGAUGGAUGGAUUCACUUCCUGCAACCCUGGCUCAUCAAAUACAGAAGGGCUGCAGAAACACCUCUGCUUAGGACACUUGUGUGUGUGGUCCAUGCCAGCCAUCGGUGGCAAGAGUUCUAAGAAGGGAGAGGGCCAUCUCCUGGACAGCAGUGGGAAGAGAGAUGUGCACGAAAAAGACGAGGGAGAUUCGACCAUCCGAGGGUCAAGACACAGAAAUUCGAACUGGCCCAGAGCGACCUUACUUGGCGCAGAGAAUCAUUUACCGAACGGGCGAGGGUGUGCGGAUACGGGAGCUAUUCUUAAAAGACAGAGUGAUGAACAGCUGCACCUGAAGUCGAAAAACGAUCCAAACUUUGAUUCCUUUCUGUGGACUUGUUCGAAUUGAAAGGCCGAUUGUAAGCAAAAAACAACUUCAGUUUGCUGAUGGAGGUCCUGUUAAAAGAGGCCAACAGGAGUACAAGACACAUGGCGACUAAAUCGCUACGUGAUGCGACUAUUUUUCGGAGACUUUCUAAAGAACGUUCCUAUUACUUUUUUAAGGUGCGGAAUUUAGCUAAACAACUACUACAGCUAACAUUCUAAGAUAACGUGGUUACUUUCCUAAUAUAAAAAUUCAUAGGUUCCGAUUGUGUAACAUAAACAACAGAACAAAUCAGGCUAGACAACCAAGUCCCCUUAUGUAAAUGCCUAAUUCCAUCAUUCAAAGAUAGUUGGUUUGUAUAGUAAAUCUAAAUCACAGGGCCAAGCUUAGCUGCCCUUUCGUGAAGAAUAUCUCAACUUUCCUGAAGCCUCAAAGAAGACAUACUGCAAUGUCAGUAUUUUGUUCUUUAGAGGGAAUAAAUUGCCCUUUUCAGCCA